rnacentral:rRNA from 1 species
GACGAACGCUGGCGGCGUGCUUAACACAUGCAAGUCGAACGGAAAGGCCCUGCUUUUGUGGGGUGCUCGAGUGGCGAACGGGUGAGUAACACGUGAGUAACCUGCCCUUGACUUUGGGAUAACUUCAGGAAACUGGGGCUAAUACCGGAUAGGAGCUCCUGCUGCAUGGUGGGGGCUGGAAAGUGUCGGCGGUUGGGGAUGGACUCGCGGCUUAUCAGCCUGUUGGUGGGGUAGUGGCUUACCAAGGCUUUGACGGGUAGCCGGCCUGAGAGGGUGACCGGCCACAAUGGGACUGAGAUACGGCCCAGAAUCCUACGGGAGGCAGCAGUGGGGAAUAUUGCACAAUGGGCGGAAGCCUGAUGCAGCAACGCCGCGGGCGGGAUGACGGCCUUCGGGUUGUAAACCGCUUUCGCCUGUGACGAAGCGUGAGUGACGGUAAUGGGUAAAGAAGCACCGGCUAACUACGUG